UAGAGUUUGAUCAUAGCUCAGGGGGUGGGGGAAAGCAGGUCUUGCACGAGCGCGAUCCAGUAGGCCGCGCCGGGCGCGAUGUUCAGGUCGUUGAAGUCGUAACAAGGUAGCCGUAAGUCGUAACAGGGUAACUGCAGAGUUUGAUCAUGGCUCAGCCUUUGACUUAAAAAAAUGGAGAAGUCGUAACAAGGUAGCCGUAAGUCGUAACAAGGUAACCGUAAGUCGUAACAAGGUAACCGUAAGUCGUAACAAGGUAACCGUAAGUCGUAACAAGGUAACCGUAGGUCGUAACAAGGUAACCGUAGAGUUUGAUCAUGGCUCAGCCUUUGACUCAAAAAAAUGGAGAAGUCGUAACAAGGUAACCGUAAGUCGUAACAAGGUAGCCGUAAAUCUGAAUUCG
rnacentral:rRNA from 1 species